rnacentral:lncRNA from 1 species
UUUCACUUCAUCUCCUCACCCAGUUUGUCCCUAACCCUAGAACCCGCCGCCCAAAAUUCCUAAGACCAUCCGCCAGCAAUGACACCCCCAUACCACUUCAAUUAGCACCCCUCCAUCCCCUCAUCCCAAAUCCCCAACCCGCUUCUUUAAAACCAUCAUAAAGCUCCUCGAAUUCCGAUCCAAAAUCGGAUCCCCAAAAUCCUAACUCACCCAAACCCGCCCAAAUUAACAUCCUACAGUCCACAGGCUUCCCCAAACCUAAAGCCCUGGAUUAUUUUCCCAAGCGAGCUCUAGAUUUUAUCAAAUUUGGAAUUUAGGUUUUGACAUAAUUUCGGAGUUGCACUCGUGUCAAAGUCUUCUGCUCAUCAGGGUUUGAGGCUCGCCUUGGUAGAGCACUCUUGAUUGAGGGAGUUUAUUAGGGUGAGUUUCUGGCGUCGAUGAAGCAUAUCAAGCGUGGCCAGUUUUUCAUCUUUGUUUCCUUUGCCACUACUCGAUGAUUUCUUAGGUUAAUCGUUCAUAUUUGUUUCUUUUCUUUUGUUGUUAUUUGUUUGUUUCUGUUUUCGUCAUCUUUUGAUUUUUUUCCUUUUAUUUCUUUCUUUUCAAAUUCAUUUUUGCUUGUAUGAUAGAGCAUAUUAGUUUAUAAUUGUUUAAAUUAGUAAUAAUAGUUUAGCAGUAGUUAAUUUAGAAGGUGGGCUUGCUAGUUCAAAAGCACAAAGGUUGUUAAAGUCUGCUAAUGUAGAAACCCAAGUGCAUUCGGGGUAGUCUAUGGUUUGUCUAAAGUAAUUAUCAUGCCUUUGAGGGGUAGUUAGGGAAAUUGGAUAGAGGGAAUCUUUCCUAACUACUUGGGAAUGUUCCAGGAAGGUGGGGAAUGGGUAGUUCAGCAAAUAUGUUUAAAAUGCAAGGUUGAAAAUGAACAAAAGAAAUUGAAUAGGGGAGGGUAGUGAAUGAAUAAAAACUAACCACUGCUGCCCUAAAACACCUCUAUAAAGGUCUAAUUUCUUUGAUUUGAGGGAAGCGAAUCGAAUACAAAAGCUGAACAAUGGUUGAAAGUUUUUCAAUGAUCACACUCUGCAUCUAGAAUUUCAAAAUUAGUAAAGAAAAUUAAAAAAAAAAGAAUCAUAAAAAAGGUUAUUUUAUCAAGCUAAAGCCAUUUUUGAUUUUCAUAUGAAAACUAGACGAACUUUUGGGAAAUUUUGAAAUAUAAAGAAACUGAAGUAUGGCUUAAGUAGAGGAGCUGUGCUAUUGUUGUUGGGUUUCUAUUCACUUCUUCUCUGCUGCUGACUCUUGGAUUUUAUUUCUUAAUGCCCUUUUGUUCUUUCAUUUGUUUAAACGUACUAAUAACUGAUGAUGUGUAUCACUUAGUCAUAAUGUAGGUUGGAAGAAUAGAAUUGGUUUUGUACUUCAUGUGGAGUGUAAUAGUCUUGCUAUACUUGGACAUCAUGGCGUUUAUGCACUGUGUUUGAAUCUGGAUUGUAUAUUAACUUUGUAUGUUGGCGUGGAUAAGUGUUUUUGAUUAAAUCAUGCUAAAUGCUAAUAUCAUUUAAGGAUAGUUUGAAAUUAAAAUGGGUGCUAAACAAUUUCAUGUUUGGUUAAGAUUAGUUGUAUGUGCGAAAUAUACAUGCUGUUGCUAUUAAUAUGAACCAUUCAAGGUCAACUUGUAAUCUGGAUACCUAUAUAUUUUUUAUAUUCGUAACUGCUGUAUUAUUUUACUAAAAGUGAGUUAAAGGGGGUGAAUUAAGUCUAAGAGGGCCUUAUGUUGAAGUACUCAUUUGAUUAAGGUUAUUGGGCCAGCCUUGACCCACAUCUGGUGAUCAAUUGAAAUCUUGUUAAACAAUAUUUCAUGGUUUUCUGUUACAAUCUUACAUUUUCGUAUGUUAAAAGUUUUGUCUUCGAUUAACCGACGUAGAAUUGAUGAUGUGAUUCUCUUGACGUUAACAUAUUAACAAGCGAUAAAUAAGUGGUACGAGGGAUAAAAGGGUACACGAAUUAACGAUAAUGAGUUUCGUUGAAAGUGGAUAAUUUGAAAUGAAAUACGG